rnacentral:rRNA from 1 species
AAAGCGUGCGUAGGCGGCCAUUCAAGUCAGAGGUGAAAGCCCAGGGCUCAACCCUGGAACUGCCUUUGAAACUAGAUGGCUGGAACACGGGAGAGGUGAGUGGAAUUCCGAGUGUAGAGGUGAAAUUCGUAGAUAUUCGGAAGAACACCAGUGGCGAAGGCGGCUCACUGGACCGUUGUUGACGCUGAGGCACGAAAGCGUGGGGAGCAAACAGGAUUAGAUACCCGUGU